GUGGGGAAUUUUGGACAAUGGGCGCAAGCCUGAUCCAGCCAUGCCGCGUGCAGGAUGAAGGCCUUCGGGUUGUAAACUGCUUUUGUACGGAACGAAAAGACUUCUUCUAAUACAGGAGGUCCAUGACGGUACCGUAAGAAUAAGCACCGGCUAACUACGUGCCAGCAGCCGCGGUAAUACGUAGGGUGCAAGCGUUAAUCGGAAUUACUGGGCGUAAAGCGUGCGCAGGCGGUUAUAUAAGACAGAUGUAAAAUCCCCGGGCUCAACCUGGGAACUGCAUUUGUGACUGUAUAGCUAGAGUACGGUAGAGGGGGAUGGAAUUCCGCGUGUAGCAGUGAAAUGCGUAGAUAUGCGGAGGAACACCGAUGGCGAAGGCAAUCCCCUGGACCUGUACUGACGCUCAUGCACGAAAGCGUGGGGAGCAAACAGGAUUAGAUACCCCUGUAGUCC
rnacentral:rRNA from 1 species